rnacentral:rRNA from 1 species
UACGUAGGUGGCAAGCGUUGUCCGGAAUUACUGGGCGUAAAGCGCACGCAGGCGGUCUGUCAAGUCGGAUGUGAAAUCCCCGGGCUCAACCUGGGAACUGCAUCCGAAACUGGCAGGCUAGAGUCUUGUAGAGGGGGGUAGAAUUCCAGGUGUAGCGGUGAAAUGCGUAGAGAUCUGGAGGAAUACCGGUGGCGAAGGCGGCCCCCUGGACAAAGACUGACGCUCAGGUGCGAAAGCGUGGGGAGCAAACAGGAUUAGAUACCCUGGUAGUCCACGCCGUAAACGAUGUCGACUUGGAGGUUGUGCCCUUGAGGCGUGGCUUCCGGAGCUAACGCGUUAAGUCGACCGCCUGGGGAGUACGGCCGCAAGGUUAAA